rnacentral:rRNA from 1 species
AUUGAACGCUGGCGGCAGGCCUAACACCUGCAAGUCGAGCGCGCGGCGGACGGGUGAGUAAUGUAUGGGGACUGCACGAUAGAGGGGGAUAACUACUGGAAACGGUGGCUAAUACCGCAUCCUAUCGGAUAACCCAUAUGGGAUUGGCUAGUAGGUGGGGUAAAGGCUCACCUAGGCGACGAACUCUAACUGGUCUGAGAGGAGUAUCAGCCCAACUGGGACUGAGCCACGGUCCAGCUUCCUCGGGAGGCAGCAGUGGGGAAUAUUGAACAAUGGGCUCAAGCCUGAUGCAGCCAUGCCGCGUGUAUGAAGAAGGCCUUCGGGUUGUAAAGUACUUUCAGUCGGGAGGCGUUACCGACAGAAGAAGCACCGGCUAACUCCGUGCCAGCAGCCGCGGUAAUUC